rnacentral:rRNA from 1 species
AUUGAACGCUGGCGGCAGGCCUAACACAUGCAAGUCGAACGAGUGGCGGACGGGAUAGCAAUGUCUGUGAAACUGCCUGGUGGCGGGGGACCACUACUGGAAACGGUAGCUACUACCGCCUACCUUCGCAUGUGCCAGUAUGGGAGUAGCUAGUAGGUGGUGUAAAGGCGCACCUAGGCGCCGAUCCCUAGCGGGUCUGAGAGGAUGACCAGCCACACUGGAACUGAGACACGGUCCAGACUCCUACGGGAGGCAGCAGUGGGGAAUAGUGGACAAGGGGCGAAAGCCUGAUGCAGCCAUGCCGCGUGUGUGAAGAAGGCCUUCGGGUUGUAAAGUACUUUCAGCUGGGAGGCGUUACCCGCAGAAGAAGCACCGGCUAACUCCGUGCCAGCAGCCGCGGUAAUUC